UUAAUCAAAUAUUUAUGGAUGAAGUGGAAGCAUGAUUUUGAAUGUGAAAUAAAGUGUUAGGCAAUUAGAUUGCAUUGCGAGCAGAGAUUGAGUGUUGAGAUGAUGUGUGGGAAGGCUAGGAGGAUGGAACUAAGCAUGGAGUUAUCUGCAGUAGGUACCCUAGGAGUAGUCAUGCCAACACAUGACAUGGUUGAGAGCAGAUAGAUGAUUCAAUCACGUGCAACAAAGACUGGAGAUGGCUCUAAUAAGGAGGGAAACUUUGGUCAAGGUUUAAGCGCCUGUUGAGAGGAUGGGAGGAGGCUCUAGGACUUGUAUGGAGUUGGUUAGAAGGGAUAUGAGGGCUGUUCAAUCCAGAAAGAAAUUAGCAGGCAUUGCCACUUUUAGUUUGGUGGAGGCGGUGUUGAUGCUUCAAGGUGUAAAGAUAGCUGCUGAUAGUGGCUUCUCUCUGUUGAUCAUUGAGGUGAUUCGGCUAACACUAUUAUAAGUUGGGGAUCUUUGGGGUUGGUGGAUGGGAGGUGUGAAUAUCAUGGAUGAAAUUUGGGAGAUUUGCUUUGGAUUAACUGUAGGAUGCUGUCAGAUUCGAGAUGAGGCCAAUCAAGAAGCAAAUAUUUUGGCCAAAGUGGAGGUUGCAAGGGAUGCUCUUCUUAUUUCUGAUAGGCCUUGUUAAUGGGGAUUAAUCUUGGAAUUUCCUUUUGAGUGUUGGUUUGUAAUUUUGGCCUCUUCAUCGCUUGUAUUUUCCUCUUUCCUUCUCUUUUUAACAAAAAAUGAUGCUAUCCAUCCAAAAUAAAAAUAAAAUCUGGAAGUAUCCGGAGGUCUGUGAAUCUAGGCUUGGAAUUGGAUUACUAC